CUGGACGUUUCGGGACCUUUUUAAAAGUGCUGUGUCAGCAGUUAAUGUGCCCAGUGGUGGUUGCACUAUGAGGGCGCCUGUUUACACCUGUACCACCUCUUUCCUGGGGACACCAAGGCCAAGAUCCUGAAGACAUUUUUAUUGAUCAGCAAGCUUGAAGAUGACAUUAAGGAAACAACUCCUGUCCAUUUUGUUGUACUGCGUCCAACGUGUGGCCUCGCUCUUCUGCCUGAACCCCAAACGCAACAAGAAAAACUGCCUCUCUGGGGGAGCCAGGAAUCUGGUGUCUGUCAUCCAGCAGCUUGCCCAGAGGGUCACUCGGGGGAUGCGGACCACUCUGUGAUGCAUGUAACCCAUGCCGCUGAACAACUACUACUUCACAAAUUGGAGCAAUUUUAUUAUUUAUAUUAUCAUUUGAUGGCAUUAAAUAA